UUUCGAUAGCGUAAAAGUUAACUCAAAUAUGUAUGCAUUUGGAACGUUUGCCUACGUUUGCCGCUAGGGGCGCUGUUCCAAAUCCAUCCUAAUGUUAGUUAACUUUUACGCUAUCGA
rnacentral:pre_miRNA from 9 species